CACAGGAAAGGGCACAAAUGGGUGCAUGAACUGGCCUGGAUGCACCUUCUUGCUCCCAGCCAUCCCUUUCCAAAGAAAAGCGAAUUUUCAGUUGUGUUCAAACCCUUUAUCUGGAAAUCCUGAAACACAGCAAUUUCUACUUGUAUGGGUUCUCCAAAAUUACACAAGAUGAAUUCCACCAACAUUGAGCUUCUGCAAAAGAGCUGUAGGCGGUUGCCACAACCCUCCUGCUGCUUGGUCUCCCAGGAAUCCCCAGUGGCACUUUUCCUUUGCUGAAAGGUGAUUUUCAGGCCAUAGAAGACUCUUCUACUGCCACGUGGGACAUGGGAGCCCUGGGAGGAGUGACAUGGGCAUAAGGAGCCAAGGCUGCUGGGAAGGGCUGAGUGCUUCAAAAGCCUGAGGGCAUCAGCCUUUCAGCACCAGAGGCAAUUAAGGGACCUGUCUGUGGACAACUUGGCCUUCACCUGCACCCAAUCCAUGCUCACCCAGGGAAGGCAAUGACCCGGGGCAGGCUCCGCUGCAGCAGCAGAGUGCAGCAAUUGUUAAUGAUGAAAUGCAAAAGGCGUUUCCCCGCUAUGCCCUUUCUCCCGCGCCAAGUUUUCCCUUGUUAAUUAGGAGGAAAAUUUCACAACUUCAGCACCAUAUAAUUAAAUCUCGCAAUUAACAUGUGCACUUAAGCCAUCAUUUUGAAAAUGAGACUUAUGCAGGGAAAUCUACUUAAGGGAGAGCACCAGGAUGGAGAGUGAAACUGUGACACUGUGCUAAUGAUCCAGAACACCAGUGGUUAAAUGAUAGGUCUC